AUGAUAAUGUCCUAACUAAUCUGACAUUGCUAUUAGUAACAAAGAAUUCAAUGCUAAUGCUAGAGAGAUGCUUUGUUUUACUUAACACACUCAAUGAUGCUCCCCAAGUUGGGCCUAGUUAUGUCCUAAGCAUAGGAUUUUGUUUGUAAUAACUUUUUUUAUUUGGCAAAUGUAAUGCGUAUAACAAAAUUUAGCAUUAAGAGAGUCAUGGAAAUUUGGAGCAUCCUGGAUGUACCCCUGCAGAGUUUGGUUUAUAUGGUAGAAUAGAUGUUAGGGCCUCAAAUAGAAGACUGCAAGAGGACCACAAUAACACAAAUACAUCAGCAUUUGGACCAUUUAAAGUAUGAAAACUCUCAGGAGUGCAUCAGUGCAAAUUGAGAACCAUGGCAAUUGAUGCUCACAUCACUUUCUUUCAACCCUUGACAGCUUA
rnacentral:lncRNA from 1 species